UUAUAAUUAUAAUAUCAUUUUUCUAUAAUUUUAGAUAAUUUAAAGCAUACAAUUAUUUUAUUUUUUUAGCUUUUAGUAUUUACAUGAUCUCAAAUCAUAUUGUUUGGUAAUAUUUGCCUUAAUUUCAAAUUGUUGGAUAAAAUUAAUUAAAUACCUAAAAAUCAAUUGUCGCAAAAAUCACAUAGAUUUUUACAUACCUCUUUAUGGUGCGGAAUUAAUGUUGUGAUUAUCAGGAUCUGAUCUCGUCUUGUUUUACGAACUCGUUGAUCCGCCAACGUCCCGUCUCAAUUUGUUGCACGUUGUUCUUACUCGUUGCAAUCCGGCUACUAGAGUCGAUCGCCGCACACCACCCAAAUCCCUAGGGUUUAUGAUGGUGCCCUAGAGCAAACCUGAGAGAGAGAGAAUUUUGAUGGAGAGAUGAUUCUUAUUUUUCUCAUUGUCUUGUAUGUAGUCAAUACCUCAUGUAUUUAUAGGCCAUAAGGAAGAUAUUAAUCUUAAUCAUAUUCUAACUAAAUCUCACAUAGAUAGAGAUUUAAACAGAUUAGGAUUUAUUUGUUAGAUUUAUUCUUUAGUCCAAGUGCAUUAGGAAUAUAACAGAUAAUUAUAAAUAAUUAUUUCUUAUCCCAUAUGGAUUAGAAAUAUUUUAGAUUAGUCCCAAUAUGGACGAAUCCUAACAUCUCCCACUCGUACACACUUGGUACUUAUUCAUACUUUCUCAUCCCAAAUAUAUUCUCAUCUCGUUCUGCUCUUUAUACGGGAAAUGGUUGGUGCGAUCAGUAACGAGAAGAAUCAUAAGUGAAGAGUGUUAUAUUAAGCCACCAUCCGAACUAACAUAACACUACAACUCCAAAUCUCGUCUAUACCCCAAAUCACUGAACUACACCAGAUCAUAGCAUCUCUGAUCUCUUAGAGCAAACUAGAUCUCUCUCAUUAAUGUAUUUGUUCUCAUAAUUAUAUUGACAACAAAUAUCAACAUAAUCGCCCGGGCAAUGAGUAACAAAUCAUAGGUGUAUUAUCAAAAGAUUUUUUCUUAGAUGCCUCAUGUCAAUCCAUUUCAACUUUACUACUUUCCUAGACAUGUUCCGUUGGAUCGAAUCAAUCAUAGCCCUUGGAUAUCAU
rnacentral:lncRNA from 1 species